ACACGCAUGAAAGUCAAGCUGAAAGACUUUACUCAAUGAUGUAAGUGGUGGUGCAUGGUCGUUCUUAGUUCGUGGAUUGAUUUGUCUGGUCGAUUCCGAUAACGAGCGAGACCCCGGUGUUCCUAAUAGGAGCCGAAGCCCGUUCACUGUAACAGGUGGACAGCUAAGGCUUAAGAUGUACUUCUUAGACACAUCAUGGCUGAUAAAGUCAUUGAAAUGGGUUAAUAACAGGUCAGUAAUGCCCUUAGAUGUUCUGGGCCGCACGCGCGUUACAAUGGCAUGUAUAACAAGUGCUUUUUAAGGCGUUUCCUGGACCUAACGGUUCAGGUAACCCUUAAUCCAUUGCUUUGACUGGGAUAGAUCAUUGCAAUUAUUGGUCUCUAACGAGGAAUUUUUAGUAAGCAUAGGUCAUUAACCUAUGCUUA
rnacentral:rRNA from 1 species